rnacentral:rRNA from 1 species
GACGAACGCUGGCGGCGUGCUUAACACAUGCAAGUCGAACGGAAAGGCCCUGCUUUUGUGGGGUGCUCGAGUGGCGAACGGGUGAGUAACACGUGAGUAACCUGCCCUUGACUUUGGGAUAACUUCAGGAAACUGGGGCUAAUACCGGAUAGGAGCUCCUGCUGCAGGGUGGGGGUGGGAAAGUUUCGGCGGUUGGGGAUGGACUCGCGGCUUAUCAGCUUGUGGGUGGGGUAGUGGCUGACCAAGGCUUUGACGGGUAGCCGGCCUGGGAGGGUGAUCGGCCACAAUGGGACUGAGAUACGGCCCAGACUCCUACGGGAGGCAGCAGUGGGGAAUAUUGCACAAUGGGCCGAAGCCUGAUGCAGAAACGCUCCGUGCGGGAUGACGGCCUUCGGGUUGUAAACCGCUUUCGCCUGUGACGAAGCGUGAGUGACGGUAAUGGGUAAAGAAGCACCGGCUAACUACGUG